rnacentral:rRNA from 1 species
CAGUCGCCACGGUAAUACGGAGGGUGCAAGCGUUAAUCGGAAUUACUGGGCGUAAAGCGUGCGUAGGCAGUUCGUUAAGUCUGUUGUGAAAGCCCCGGGCUCAACCUGGGAAUGGCAAUGGAUACUGGCGAGCUAGAGUGUGUCAGAGGAUGGUGAAAUUCCCGGUGUAGCGGUGAAAUGCGUAGAGAUCGGGAGGAACAUCAGUGGCGAAGGCGGCCAUCUGGGACAACACUGACGCUGAGGCACGAAAGCGUGGGGAGCAAACAGGAUUAGAUACCCCUGUAGUCCCUGUCUCUUAUAC